rnacentral:misc_RNA from 1 species
GAUUUCUUCACAAACAGGUCUUAAACGUGUAGUUGAUGAGCAUUUACUUUCACCUGUGACAAAAAGAGAAUGUAGCACUAGUUGUACUGAACUCCAACUUUCUGGUGUAGCUUAAAUUACAGAGCAUUUAUGUUCGCCUUUUUCCUAUCCACUUCUUUUUGAAAGUAAUACCAAACUCCUGCUGCUUUCUGCUGUGGCACUGUAGCUUAUCACUGACUAAAUCAGAUGUUCAUGGUGGUCUGUAAUGAUUUUGAAAUUUAUGUGGUCAAUGGUCAGACCUUAACCUCGUUUGAUCUGCAGCAAUAAGUUUUACGUAGAUAGGCUGCUUGGUUGCCAUUGAUGGUCAAUAUACUGCAAGUAACAUACAGUUAACUCUUUCUACUAUUAGCUUUGAUAUGCUAGUCAAUUGGACCUUUAAAUCUCCUCCAUAUGGUUCAAAUUCCUCCAUCAAGUCUUAACUACUACCAAUUAAUAACUUGUGAUACCGGGGGUAUUUGGAUUAACGACACAUGGAUAGGGUGUUAAUUGAGGAAAUAAGGUAAUACAGAAGCUGGGGUUACCUAUACAACUACUUUGGGAUACUUUGAUGAAGUAUGAGAAAGGCUACAACUGCUUUCGAGUGUUUUAGACAAUGCUGGAGAGGGAUCCGACUGCCUCUUUUGCAAGACAAGAAGGGCCAAAGGAUACUUUCACUUGGCACUCCGAUGCUUAAGUUAGUAUAGGAUAGAAAGGUAAAGGACAAUGAGACUAAAUGAGUAAAGGGGUUCAAGAAUGUUUUAACUAGGGUAAUAAAUGCCUAUAUAUAUUAUGAGAAAUCCAAUAACAAAUUAACGCAUUGAGGUCUAUUGCCAAGUGAGACUAUUUUAUUUAGUUAGAUCUCUGCCAAAGGACCCAAAAUGUCAUAUCGCAGGGUAAUGAUGGCUCUGACAAACCUGAAAUGGCGGUUAUAGGUAGUUUAUGGGUAUAGGUAUGUUAGGAUAGGUGAAAAGAUGAAGUCAACCUGCAAAUAAGGGGUAAAUAGUCCAAGUGGUGAGUGAUACAAGUGGUUGAAUUGUCUAAGUUGCUCAUGCUUUUGGCAUAGAUGUUAUCAUAUGUUGAGUAUGUAUUUCAAAUACUCGGAAUUAGAUUCACUUAGUAGGUAGGCUGAGUCAGUCAUGAGUCAAUAGGUAAUAGUGGUCGGCUUUGUGAUUGGAAGAGUCUGUAGGACGACUGGUUACAGUAUGGGGGUUAUCUAACUUGUUGUACUGGGGUUCUUCUCGAUGUGUUAUGAGCUCCGAUGUGCUUAAUAUUAAAUAAAUACAUAUAGCCCGUACUGAGUUUAAUAUAUUAUAUCUCUUCAGGGUAUCCGAGUGAUAAUGUAUAAUAUGGCUUCUUAAGGAACACGUGGUACCAAUCUAAGUAGUCGGAUAAUUUAUAUUGUAUCACCAACAUUGGCAUUUGUCAGGUGUUCUUUUGGCAGAAUUUAUAGUCUAAAUUUGCCUUUUUCUUAGUAAUCACAUUCUUUUGAUGAGAAUGUCGAAAUGCUGAUUGUUCAUCUUUCUUUGGGAUAUCUACUGAAUUCCCUCUUUUUUUUUAGCUUGAUUUCAAGAAUUUUUAAACAAUGCAACAGACAUGAUGCCAAUUAGAAGUACACAAAUGGGGCGUAUGAUUCUAUACUCUCCAAAAUCCAGUUCUUUGAAACUUACAUUGCUAGGUAUUCAUUCUCAAAGGAAACAAGUUCGAUUAUCCAUGUCAUGCGCAUGCCAGGAAAAUUCUCAAAGAUAACCUUUUUCUGGUACUUUAGUGAAUGAUUUUUAUGUGAAGCUUGCUAUGCAUGAUAUCAAUCAGCUUGAUGCAACUGUAGUUUAAAACUUUAAAUUGGCUGUUCUUUUUAUGGAGUUAUCUAUCAGGCCUUCAACUUAACAUUUCCAUUUCUUUAAAUCAAUUGUCAGGAUAUCUCAACAAUCCCCAGG